rnacentral:rRNA from 1 species
UACGUAGGGUGCGAGCGUUAUUCGGAAUCACUGGGCGUAAAGGGUGCGUAGACGGUAUGUUAAGUUCGUUGUUAAAGGCUCCGGCCCAACCGGAGUAUUGCGAUGAAAACUGGCUCACUAGAGGGUGAGAGAGAGAAGUGGAAUUCCCGGAGUAGCGGUAAAAUGCGUGGAUCUCGGGAGGAACACCAAUGGCGAAGGCAGCUUCUUGGCUCAUACCUGACGUUGAGGCACGAAAGCGUGGGGAGCAAACAGG